rnacentral:rRNA from 1 species
UGGGGAAUAUUGCACAAUGGGCGCAAGCCUGAUGCAGCCAUGCCGCGUGUGUGAAGAAGGCCUUCGGGUUGUAAAGCACUUUCAGCGGGGAGGAAGGCGAUAAGGUUAAUAACCUUGUCGAUUGACGUUACCCGCAGAAGAAGCACCGGCUAACUCCGUGCCAGCAGCCGCGGUAAUACGGAGGGUGCAAGCGUUAAUCGGAAUUACUGGGCGUAAAGCGCACGCAGGCGGUCUGUCAAGUCGGAUGUGAAAUCCCCGGGCUCAACCUGGGAACUGCAUCUGAUACUGGCAAGCUUGAGUCUCGUAGAGGGGGGUAGAAUUCCAGGUGUAGCGGUGAAAUGCGUAGAGAUCUGGAGGAAUACCCGUGGCGAAGGCGGCCCCCUGGACAAAGUCUGACGCUCAGGUGCGAAAGCGUGGGGAGCAAACAGG